rnacentral:rRNA from 1 species
UGCGCAGGCGGACUAAUAAGUCAGUGGUGAAAUCUCUCGGCUCAACCGAGAAACUGCCAUUGAAACUGUUAGUCUUGAGUACAGUUGUAGUGGGCGGAAUAUAGCAUGUAGCGGUGAAAUGCUUAGAUAUGCUAUAGAACACCGAUCGCGAAGGCAGCUCACUAAGCUGUAACUGACGCUCAGGCACGAAAGCGUGGGGAGCAAACAGGAUUAGAUACCCUGGUAGUCC